UUGUCCGGAUUUACUGGGUGUAAAGGGUGCGUAGGCGGCUUUGCAAGUCAGAUGUGAAAUCUAUGGGCUCAACCCAUAAACUGCAUUUGAAACUGUAGAGCUUGAGUGAAGUAGAGGCAGGCGGAAUUCCCCGUGUAGCGGUGAAAUGCGUAGAGAUGGGGAGGAACACCAGUGGCGAAGGCGGCCUGCUGGGCUUUAACUGACGCUGAGGCACGAAAGCGUGGGUAGCAAACAGGAUUAGAUACCCUGGUAGUCCACGCGGUAAACGAUGAUUACUAGGUG
rnacentral:rRNA from 1 species